UACGUAGGGUGCAAGCGUUAAUCGGAAUUACUGGGCGUAAAGCGUGCGCAGGCGGUUGUGCAAGACCGAUGUGAAAUCCCCGGGCUUAACCUGGGAAUGGCAUUGGUGACUGCACGGCUAGAGUGUGUCAGAGGGGGGUAGAAUUCCACGUGUAGCAGUGAAAUGCGUAGAGAUGUGGAGGAGUACCGAUGGCGAAGGCAGCCCCCUGGGAUAACACUGACGCUCAUGCACGAAAGCGUGGGGAGCAAACAGG
rnacentral:rRNA from 1 species